rnacentral:ncRNA from 2 species
AUGAAGGACGUGCUAAUCUGCGAAAAGCGCCGGCGAGGUGAUAUGAACCUUUGACCCGGCGAUGUCCGAAUGGGGAAACCCAGUGUGAUUCGUCACACUAUCGUUAACUGAAUACAUAGGUUAACGAGGCGAACCGGGGGAACUGAAACAUCUAAGUACCCCGAGGAAAAGAAAUCAACCGAGAUUCCCCCAGUAGCGGCGAGCGAACGGGGAGGAGCCCAG